GACGAAGGGGGCUAGCGUUGUCGGAAUUACUGGGCGUAAAGCGAGUGUAGGUGGUUGUUCAAGUUGGAUGUGAAAGCCUUGAGCUCAACUCAAGAAAUGCAUUCAGGACUGAGCAACUAGAGGACCGGAGAGGAUAGUGGAAUUCCCAGUGUAGUGGUGAAAUACGUAGAGAUUGGGAAGAACACCAGUAGGCGAAGGCGGCUAUCUGGACGGUUUCUGACACUAAGACUCGAAAAGCGUGGGGAGCAAACAGG
rnacentral:rRNA from 1 species